rnacentral:rRNA from 1 species
GACGAACGCUGGCGGCGUGCUUAACACAUGCAAGUCGAACGGAAAGGCCCUGCUUUUGUGGGGUGCUCGAGUGGCGAACGGGUGAGUAACACGUGAGUAACCUGCCCUUGACUGUGGGAUAACUUCAGGAAACUGGGGCUAAUACCGGAUAGGAGCUCUUGCUGCAUGGUGGGGGUGGGAAAGUUUCGGCGGUUGGGGAUGGACUCGCGGCUCAUCAGCUUGUUGGUGGGGUAGUGGCUUACCAAGGCCUUGACGGGUAGCCGGCCUGUGAGGGAGACCGGCCACAUUCGCUGGGAGUGACAGCCCAGACUCCUUCGUACGGGAGGCAUGAGUAGGGUUUCUUGGUGGGCGGGCGCCUGCCGGAGCAACGCCGCGUGCGGGAUGGCGGCCUUCGUGUUGUAUGCAACUUUCGCCUGUGACGGAGCGUGAUGGCCGUAACUGGAGAAAGAACUCCCGGCAACCUCCUU